GCAACCUGCCUAUAAGACUGGGAUAACUUCGGGAAACCGGAGCUAAUACCGGAUACGUUCUUUUCUCGCAUGAGAGAAGAUGGAAAGACGGUUUACGCUGUCACUUAUAGAUGGGCCCGCGGCGCAUUAGCUAGUUGGUGAGGUAAUGGCUCACCAAGGCGACGAUGCGUAGCCGACCUGAGAGGGUGAUCGGCCACACUGGGACUGAGACACGGCCCAGACUCCUACGGGAGGCAGCAGUAGGGAAUCUUCCGCAAUGGACGAAAGUCUGACGGAGCAACGCCGCGUGAACGAAGAAGGCCUUCGGGUCGUAAAGUUCUGUUGUUAGGGAAGAACAAGUACCAGAGUAACUGCUGGUACCUUGACGGUACCUAACCAGAAAGCCACGGCUAACUACGUGCCAGCAGCCGCGGUAAUACGUAGGUGGCAAGCGUUGUCCGGAAUUAUUGGGCGUAAAGCGCGCGCAGGUGGUUCCUUAA
rnacentral:rRNA from 1 species